UGAGGAAAAAAAAAAAAAAAAAAAAAUCUUUUGAGUUGGUGGAUAAGUACCUCACCAACUCCCUCCUGAUACUUAUCAACUCAACCCAUUGAAAACUAAUUAGCCUUCUCUCUCUAUCCCUCCUUAAUUUAGCUCGUGGGCAAGGUGGAGAGCUCGAGCUCGGGUGGAGUUGCCGUGGAGCUCGGAUCGACGUCGACGUCGCGCCACGGAGCCGUCCGAGCAUACGUGCGUCGCCGUAGUUUAGCGAGGAGGCCGGGCGAGGGAGUGUUUUCGUCGUUCUCGACGCCGUGUCGGAAUUGGAGUCGCUGGUUGAGGUGGGUAAUCUCUCAUUCCUCUAUGGAUUUCUUCUCUACUUCAAGACGAAGCUUCAGGACCCUUGUUUGCUGAAUUUGGAUAAGCAGGAGAACCGGGGACUUCGACGGACCAGCGAGGGAUCAUUUUGGAUCCGGGCCACUUUCUUCGCUGCCAGGAGUUGCUUGAGAGAGCCACAGGUUCCGGCUGCUGCACCGUCUGCGGAUCAGG